rnacentral:lncRNA from 1 species
CUCUUACUUGUCAUCAAAGCCUUCAAUCUUAUCUCAUUGGAGAACAUCCUACAUCUUGAACAUCUGCAAGUCAAAAUCUUUGAUUAAUAUUCUGCACCACAACUAGAGAACAUGAUAUUUUCACCAAGCUGCUAUCAAUAUCAUUCCAAACAAAGCAACUCAAGAGAAUUUGUUAUCCCUGAUAGAAAAAUGGGUACAUUUUUACUAAUGAUGUAGCUUUAGCUCCCAUCUUUUGAGUUUCCUACCUUCUUUUGCUAUAUCCUGACAUACAGGGGAUCCUGGUCUAUGUGCCCAUGGUGGUAACUCCCUUCAGGUCAUUCCUGCAUAAUGUAAGUAGUAAGAAAUCAAAUGAUUAAGAACAUGAGCAGUGAAAGCAUUUGCUAAGUAUCUGCAACAUGAUAACAUAUAUUUUAAUUAGCAUCGUGAGUCUUGCAAAGUACAUAAACUAAAUACCACUACAAUCAUUAGUACACAACAAACAGGAAAAAUAUGGACGAACACGUGAACAUGUUCAAGAGACAAUAGAAAAUUACAUAAGAGAGAAUUAACCUUUUUCUUCUUCACAAUACACAACACUUAUAUUUUUUCUGUAUCGCGUGCUUUACGAACCAAUCCAUCCAAAUCUGUCCUAGGAACUAAAGAUAUCAUUUGUAUUGGGAUUUUCAACUACAUAUUGUGUUGGUAAUAUAGUUAUGCUAAUGAAGGCCAUUUGUAUUUGGCAUUUUACUUAUAUGAACAUGAUAGUAAAAUUAUCGCUAGCACAAAUAGAAACUUGAGUAAGAGAGGGAGGGAGAUACACACAAUACAAACAGUAUUUUUGAGAAUAGGUUUUAUUUGUGGCCGUCGGAAAACACACACCAAUGACGGCUCACAAACCAUCGUAACUAACGUGGGUAUAUAACAGGGGUUUGGACGUCUAAUGGUCAUAUAAAUAUUCGAAAGCUUCAGGGUCUUCGAGUUCUUCGGGUCUUGAGAGUCUUCAAUUGGUGUAGCUUCAACUGCAUGAUGAAAUCCAUCUUUACUUUGAAGCGGGAGUCGGUUGAUCCUUCAUGUGGUCAAAGGGGAAAGGGCAUUGUCUAACUAUUUGAGGUGAGAGAGAACAUUUGAUGAAAUCAGAAAAGAUGAGUAGUGAAAGGUGUUCUCGAAAAUAAGAUUUUUUUUGAGAGAUACUAUCCUAAGAAAUUCCAGUUUCUAGGGUCACGUCCUACAGUCAACAUGUGCUCUGAAACCAUUUCUGUAGCGACCCGACUCAAGACGAGUCAAGCCUCUGUGUUUCUGUGCCAUCCCUGGAUCAGUAUGCUGGCACACACAGUACAUCAAUGUAUAUAUCAAAGUGAAAUCACAUGUAAAUAGCGUAAAACUGAUAUAUACCUUAAUUAUUUCAGCGGAAGCAGUCAAGGGAGUGGAGUCCCAAUAAACACCAACGGCAAGUUGAGUGUAGACCGUAACCCUGAAUCGUACUCUUACUCGUCGAAGAAAAAUAUCUGCAACAUAAGACGUUGCAGCCGUGUAGGUCAGCAUAUUGAAUAUGCCGGCAAGUCACAUAAGAGAGGGGUGAAAAGUAAUCAUCUAUACUAUAUGCAUAUAUGGCAGGUGGGGCUAUAAGUUUUUAGCGAAAAAGCAAGUUUUCUCCUACAUCAAGAGAGGGCUAAAAGCAAAAUGUUACUACAUUGUUGGUUGUUAACGAGAUGGUUCCGCCAACCAGUUCUCGUACCCGAGUUGUCAAUAAUUCCCACAUCAAUAUUAUUAUUUGUGUUGAGAAUUUCAGAUAACUUCAGUUCCUUUGGCUCAAGUUGUCCAUGACCGUGGACACGGCUAAUCGAUUAGGUUUGAGUACUCUGCAGAGUUUUGCACAUGUUCCCCACAAGAUUUGAUCGCCUUCGUGUAUGUCCUCGCACUUCAGGGUGUUUGAAGACCGGAUGAUCAAAACAUGGUCUUUCAACGGGUCCCUCUGAAUCCCUGUCGGUGCCCGUCCAAUCCUACAGUUCUUCUACAUCUGCUAGCACCGCCUGUCCAGAGUCGCCGCGUUGUCCAACCAAGCCAGAGCCCAUAAUGACUUGUGGCUGUGCAGGUAAGCCUUGGGUCUUGAAAAUAUCCGUCCGUCUCUUUGAGCCUGGGUGAAGCUUUCCGCAGGAUGUCAUGGCCGUCCCCAGCAUCCCGGGUCAUCCACUGGGUUCUCCAGGGACCCGAUCAACCGUUCUUCACCCAGAGUUGCAUUGCGUCCGAGGUCUUAAAAAUCUUGUCUUAACCGGUCUUGAUUAUUUAAUCAACCUCGCAUCACUCGUGUUAUGCACUCAACCGAAAUCCCGUCUACUCAAGCAUACCAAUAUGAAAUUUGUCGUCCCGGGGCCUAGUAUCGGGGUUGUUGUGUGCCUACCACAUGAUACUACAAUCUAUACUAAAAUUUCCAAGUACCUACUCAGCAUGCAAUUGGGCAUAGGAUGGUAGCACUAUGAUGCAUGAAACAUAGGUGAUAGUAUGAUCAAAGUGACUUGCCUGGUGAUGUUGACGAAGAAGAAUUUUCAUUCUCGGGAAAUACGUGAUAGAACUAUUCGACACUCUCCGAUGAAAUCUAUAUAAUCAAACAUAGUAUUCACAUAAGCACUCACACUAGCAAUCAUUCUAGCAAUCAAUUAACAAACAGCAAUAAAAGUUGAUGCAAUCAAAAAUCAAUAAGAGAGAGCGGAUAAAAAUCCAAAGGAAACUUCAAAGAAGCUAGGAAGCUUGCUACUACAUCAAACACUAUAUAGUUUUUGUUCUAACUGAAAAUAAAACAAUAAAAUAGAAAAAAUAACAAAAUAUAAAAUAACUAAGUUAACAGAAGUAAAAUUUACAAAACAAUAUUUUUUAUAAGUAUUUUCAAAAUAGGAAAUCAAACUAGCAAUGCAAUCAAUUCACAAGUUAGUAUAGAACUAGAAUUGAUUCCAUGCAAACAGAUAAGAAUAAAUAAAAUAAAAUUCUGUUGUUGUUGAAAAGUUACUUGUAAAUAUCAAAAAACAAAAUAUAACUUGUCACAAUUACACAAAAAAACAAAUUAAGAACAAUUAAUACAAAAGAAAUAGCAAGAAAACAAAAAAGGCUAAAACAGAAUCUGUUUUGCUUAAAACCCUAAGUAAACAUAUCUAAAAAAUUGAAACUUAAACUACUGAAUGAUAUGAUCAAUACGAAGCAGCAGCAAAAAGAAUCAAAUUAAAAGCUAUUUUUAAACUCCCGGAAUAAGCAAAACAAACUUUAAUUCAAAUCUGAUCUAACUCAACUUUUAUAAAUGCAAACAUAGACAAAUUAUAUAUCUGCAGAAACUACAUAAAAUUUGUGAUCCAACGCAAAAAAAAUCACCUAAUUCGGAGUUAUAGACUAAUAGAUAUGAAUUUUCUAAGAUUGCAAUUUUCUGAAAAAACUGCAAUACGGGAUUUCGUGAAUCUCACCACGGGUGACAGAGAGGAAGAACUCUGGCGAGGUAGCUGUUCCGGCGAGGUGGGCAGGUCGUCGGCAGGGAGGGGGAACGGCGGAGGGGGUCCCGGAGGCGAGGAAGGGGCAUCAGGGGCUCCUGGGCAUUCUUAGUGUUUGCUUUUGCUCCUUGGGUUUCCGGCUUUCUUCCUGAGCACAUGUAUUUGUGGUGGCCAAAUUCCAUACACUUGUAACAUCUCACAUGACUCAGGUCUAUGUCUGCAGAGAUUUGGCUCUUCUGAGGGUACUUUCUCUUCUUUCCGGACUCCUUUAUUUUGGCCAGUUCUUCUAUUUCAAGUGGAUCAAACUCCACUUUUUUCGUCGGGAAGUUUCCCAGAUACUCUUGGCUUCUCUUCGUGCAGUCCUGUGAAUAAUGUCCUUGUUCUGCACAUGAGUAGCAUGCAUUGGAGAAAAAAUCUAGUCAGACCUUGUCCAUGAGGGUCUUUAAUAUUUUCGUUCAUCACCGGCUCUUCUAGAAUCUUCUUCUUGAGUGUUUCCUUCACUGCAUCUUUCUUCUGCUUGACAACUUGUUGUACCUUGGGGUAAAUGUGACAUUGAGCUGGGUAGUGGGUGGUCCCUUCACAAAGGAAACAAGUCACCUGACUACUUGGGCACUCCUCAGCUGGGUGAUUUUCUUCACAAUGAGUGCAUCCAUCCUUGUGUUCUUCCUGGGUGUGUCCUAUUUCUCCACAGAUCUUGCAUGCACAAGACUUCUCCUUCGGAUUAUCAUAGCACUUCCGAAUGAGACGGGAUCUUAACAGUGUGUUCUUGAAUUCGUCCCAGGUUUCUGCUCCACUGAAUCCUUGUAUGGCAUGGUGCAUUUUCCACCAGAUUGCAGCACUUUGGGUAAAGUACUGGAGAGCAUGUUCCACUUCAUACUUCCUUGAGAUCAAGUUGCUCCCGAAGUGGUUCUCCAUGUUCUGAAUCCAUAUUUCAGCCUCUAGCUGGGUCAUUGGUCCAGAGACUACAAGUCCAGCUUCAUACUCCAUCUGGUAGGGUUGAGGUUUUGGGGAUGAGACGGGUAAGAGAGGCAGGGAGAUACACACAAUAAAAACAGUAUUUUUGAGAAUAGGUUUUAUUAGUGACCGUCAGAAAACACACACCAAUGACAGCUCACAAACCAUCGUAACUAACGUGGGUAUAUAACAGGGGUUUGGACUUUUAAUGGUCAUAUAAAUAUUCGAACGCUUCAGGGUCUUCGAGUUCUUCGGGUCUUGAGAGUCUUCAAUUGGUGUAGCUUCAACUGCAUGAUGAAAUCCAUCUUUACUUGGAAGCGGGAGUCGGUUGAUCCUUCAUGUGGUCAAAGGGGAAAGGGCAUUGUCUAACUAUUUGAGGUGAGAGAGAACAUUUGAUGAAAUCAGAAAAGAUGAGUAGUGAAAGGUGUUCUCGAAAAUAAGAUUUUUUUUGAGAGAUACUAUCCUAAGAAAUUCCAGUUUCUAGGGUCACGUCCUACAGUCAACAUGUGCUCUGAAACCAUUUCUGUAGCGACCCGACUCAAGACGAGUCAAGCCUGUGUGUUUCUGUGCCAUCCCUGGAUCAGUAUGCUGGCACACACAGUACAUCAAUGUAUAUAUCAAAGUGCAAUCACAUGUAAAUAGCGUAAAACUAAUAUAUACCUUAAUUAUUUCAGCGGAAGCAGUCAAGGGAGUGGAGUCCCAAUAAACACCAACGGCAAGUUGAGUGUAGACCGUAACCCUGAAUCGUACUCUUACUCGUCGAAGAAAAAUAUCUCCAACAUAAGACUAUGCAGCCGUGUAGGUCAGCAUAUUGAAUAUGCCGACAAGUCACAUAAGAGAGGGGUGAAAAGUAAUCAUCUAUACUAUAUGCAUAUAUGGCAGGUGGGGCUAUAAGUUUUUAGCGAAAAAGCAAGUUUUCUCCUACAUCAAGAGAGGGCUAAAAGCAAAAUGUUACUACAUUGUUGGUUGUUAACGAGAUGGUUCCGCCAACCAGUUCUCGUACGUGAGUUGUCAAUAAUUCCCACAUCAAUAUUAUUAUUUGUGUUGAGAAUUUCAGAUAACUUCAGUUCCUUUGGCUCAAGUUGUCCAUGACCGUGGACACGGCUAAUCGAUUAGGUUUGAGUACUCUGCAGAGUUUUGCACAUGUUCCCCACAAGAUUGAUCGCCUCCGUGUAUGUCCUCGCACUUCAGGGUGUUUGAAGACCGGAUGAUCAAAACAUGGUCUUUCAACGGGUCCCUCUGAAUCCCUGUCGGUGCCCGUCCAAUCCUACCGUUCUUCUACAUCUGCUAGCACCGCCUGUCCAGAGUCGCCGCGUUGUCCAACCAAGCCAGAGCCCAUAAUGACUUGUGGCUGUGCAGGUAAGCCUUGGGUCUUGAAAAUAUUCGUCCGUCUCUUUGAGCCUGGGUGAAGCUUUCCGCAGGAUGUCAUGGCCGUCCCCAGCAUCCCGGGUCAUCCACUGGGUUCUCCAGGGACCCGAUCAACCGUUCUUCACCCAGAGUUGCAUUGCGUCCGAGGUCUUGAAAAUCUUGUAUUAACCGGUCUUGAUUAUUUAAUCAACCUCGCAUCACUCGUGUUAUGCACUCAACCGAAAUCCUGUCUACUCAAGCAUAGCAAUAUGAAAUUUGUCGUCCCGGGGCCAAGUAUCGGGGUUGUUGUGUGCCUACCACAUGAUACUACAAUCUAUACUAAUAUUUCCAAGUACCUACUCAGCAUGCAAUUGGGCAUAGGAUGGUAGCACUACGAUGCAUGAAACAUAGGUGAUAGUAUGAUCAAAGUGACUUGCCUGGUGAUGUUGACGAAGAAGAAUUUUCGUUCUCGGGAAAUACGUGAUAGAACUAUUCGUCACUCUCCGAUGAAAUCUAUAUAAUCAAACAUAGUAUUCACAUAAGAACUCACACUAGCAAUCAUUCUAGCAAUCAAUUAACAAACAGCAAUAAAAGUUGAUGCAAUCAAAAAUCAAUAAGAGAGAGCAGAUAAAAAUCCAAAGGAAACUUCAAAGAAGCUAGGAAGCUUUCUGCUACAUCAAACACUAUAUAGUUUUUGUUCUAACUGAAAAUAAAACAAUAAAAUAGAAAAAAUAACAAAAUAUAAAAUAACUAAGAUUACAGAAGUAAAAUUUACAAAACAAUAUUUUUUAUAAGUAUUUUCAAAAUAGGAAAUCAAACUAGCAAUGCAAUCAAUUCGCAAGUUAGUAUAGAACUAGAAUUGAUUCCAUGCAAACAAAUAAGAAUAAAUAAAAUAAAAUUCUGUUGUUGUUGAAAAGUUACUGGUAAAUAUCAAAAAACAAAAUAUAACUUGUCACAAUUACAAAAAAAAACAAAUUAAGAACAAUUAAUACAAAAGAAAUAGCAAGAAAACAAAAAAGGCUAAAACAGAAUCUGUUUUGCUUAAAACCCUAAGUAAACAUAUUUAAAAAAGAUUGAAACUUAAACUACUCAAUGAUAUGAUCAAUACGAAGCAGCAGCAAAAAGAAUCAAAUUAAAAGCUAUUUUUAAACUCCCGAAAUAAGCAAAACAAACUUUAAUUGAAAUCUGAUCUAACUCAAUUUUUCUAAAUGCAAACAUAGACAAAUUAUAUAUCUGCAGAAACUACAUAAAAUUUGUGAUCCAACGCAAAAAGCAUCACCUAAUUCGGAGUUAUAGACUAAUAGAUAUGAAUUUUCUAAGAUUGCAAUUUUCUGAAAAAACUGCAAUACGGGAUUUCGUGAAUCUCACCAUGGGUGACAGAGAGGAAGAACUCUGGCGAGGUAGCUGCUCCGGCGAGGUGAGCAGGUCGUCGGCAGGGAGGGGGAACGGCGGAGGGGGUCCCGGAGGCGAGGAAGGGGCGUCAGGGGCUCCUGGGCAUUCUUCUGUUCAGAUCCUUGCAGGAACAACAAUGGUGGGGGCGUCGUGGCUACGGGCAGGGAGAGGGCGAGUUGAUGGGGAAAAUGGAACGAGCAGAGGAGGGGCGUUCUUAUAGGGGUGGUGGGAGGCUCGGGAAGGAAGUGUAGCCCGCAAAUCGGGGGAGGGAAACUUCCUGGGAAGCUUCUCCCAUGGCCACAGAAGGAAGCUCGUGAGGAGGAAGAAGAAGGUGGGAUUGGGCUAGAUUGGUUUCCUAACGUGGCCCAAGUACAUUCCUAAAAUAAGAGAUCUCUUUCCCUUUUUAUUAAAACAGGAAUUAAUACGAUUAAAAGGAAAUAGAAUAUCCUCGGAAUAUAGGGGUAUAAUAUAUUAAAAUUUUCAUAAAAAUAAAUCCAAAAAGAUGGGCAUUUUUCCACUUCCAAAAUAAAAACUUAAAAAAAAUGUUUUUCCAAAAAAUCCCUAAAAGCAUUAUUUCUUUUUGCAAAUAUUUUCUGAAAUAAAUCUUGGGUUUCAUAGCUCAAAUAUUUCAAAGAAUAUCCCCGGGUUUUGGAGGGUCAUGUUUCUCCUCUCUUUUUCUUGCUUGACAAGAUAUGGUUCCGGCUUCCGUGAGUGUGGAACAAACAAAAUGCAAAGCAAAAUCGAAAGCAAUUCCAAUGCCACCUUGAUUCAAAUUCUUUAUAGUUGAAGAAGUCAUGCUAUCUCCUCUCGCUGAUUUAAAAAAAAAAGAUGAAUUUGAAUUCACAGGAAAAAGGGGAAAGUCAUUUUAUUCCCUCUCAUUCAAAAGUUUUGAAAAGUUUCAAAUGUCACUCAAGUUUCAAUCACUCAAGCAAACAAACAAACAAUCUUAUAAUUUUAUUAACAUUCCGAAAUUUGGGAUGUUACAUAAAGUCAAGGAAGCUGUACAUUGGGUGAUACAGCAUAGAAUCAAUUUUGCAACAUGGUCAUCAAUCCGUGCAACGCACGGGCUGCCAUUUUGUGUUUGAGAUUAUUAGUUGGGAAUAAAAUAUGCACUGGUAACUUUACAGAUUCUAAUUCCAAGGAAAAAAUACCUUACUCAUUUACAACAACAUCACAUCAUCCACUGUGAAGUGCUAUUUCACCUAGUCGCUCAUCUUCUCUAUUGCCGAGUUGUUUCUCUUUUGAAAGAGAACUUGAUGAAACCGUAUCCUUUGGUUCUCCUCACAAGGGAUGCCAGCUAGCACAUUAAUCAGUGAGAGGACAAGCCUAACAAAAUCACAAGUCCAACAUCAAGUAGUUAGAAUAGGUAUGUUAGGACAACAUUCGAGAACAGCGCCAUGCUGAGAGAAGACGUUGUUAGAUGACUCUAGUUGUCUGAUGUAUGAGAUACCUUUGACUUGCCAUGAUUAACUUCGGCUCUAGCAUUACCUGCCUACAGAAAAAAGAAUUAAUUCAAUACAUAACACCAUCUCGCAAGAAACAUAAAUGAACUUGGUAUACAACUAACUUUAGUAAGAUACCCAAUAUGUAGAUAUCUCACUAGACCAACCAAUUGGUGGGUAGGUUCUAGCAAAAGGGCACGGAAUCACUGCGCCACCCGCCGGAAGCGCAUGAGUAGCCAUAAGUAGGAAUCCUUGUGUGGAAGUGUCG